GCAAGUCGAGCGAGAAAGCCCUUCGGGGCGAGUAUAGCGGCGGACGGGUGAGUAACGCGUAGGAAUCUACCUGGUAGUGGGGGACAACAUGUGGAAACGCAUGCUAAUACCGCAUACGACCUAAGGGUGAAAGUGGGGGACCUUCGGGCCUCACGCUACCAGAUGAGCCUGCGUAAGAUUAGUUUGUUGGUGAGGUAAAAGCUCACCAAGACUACGAUCUUUAGCUGGUCUGAGAGGAUGAUC
rnacentral:rRNA from 1 species